ensembl:snRNA U6 U6 spliceosomal RNA
GUGCUCCCUUGGGCAGCACAUGUACUAAAAUUGAAAUGAAACAGAGAAGAUUAGCAUGGCCCCACACAAGAAUGACGUAAUGAAUAUGUAGAGAUCUCAACAUGGGCUU